AUUGAACGCUGGCGGCAGGCCUAACACAUGCAAGUCGAACGAGUGGCGGACGGGUGAGUAAUGUCUGGGGAACUGCCCGAUGGAGGGGGAUAACUACUGGAAACGGUAGCUAAUACCGCAUACCCUCGGAUGUGCCCAGAUGGGAUUAGCUUGUAGGUGAGGUAAUGGCUCACCUAGGCGACGAUCCCUAGCUGGUCUGAGAGGAUGACCAGCAACACUGGGACUGAGACACGGCCCAGACGCCUACGGGAGGCAGCAGUGGGGAAUAUUGCACAAUGGGCGCAAGCCGGAUGCAGCCAUGCCGGGUGUAUGAAGAAGGCCUUAGGGUUGUAAAGUACUUUCAGCGGGGAGGCGUUACCGGCAGAAGAAGCACCGGCUAACUCCGUGCCAGCAGCCGCGGUAAUAC
rnacentral:rRNA from 1 species